GGGGAUGUGGCUCUGUGGUAGAGUGCUUGCCUAGCAUGUGUGAAGCCCUAGGUUCAAUCCCUAGCACCUUA
rnacentral:tRNA from 1 species